rnacentral:snoRNA from 1 species
AACCAAAGUGUUGAGUUCAGUUCAGGGUCUUGUCCCUGUUCUGGUAAUUAAACUUUGGGACAGAAAUGACUGGGAAGUGCACCCUGGUGACUGAAAGUUUGUCUUAUGCCACCUGUGUUUCUCAGCCUACAACC